AGUUGUUCCAGAACUACAGAUUAAAUGUAUCAAAUUCUCAAGCUCUCCUUAGACAUGACUGACCCCACUUGCAACUUUGCAACCAAUGACCAUUUUUCUCGCCACCAUUCGAACCAUCUUUAAUUGUCAUCAUCAUCAUCCCAUCAAAAAUAGCAUUUUCACUAAACUAGGAAAACUAGCUUUAAAAUCCCAUUAAAUGGGACAAAAGAUAAAUGCAGAAGUAGAAUUGAGGGUGGAUGAGGAUUCUACAAGAGAAAGCAAUGUUAUAACAACAACUGUCCUUCCCUAUGUCUGCAUCAUAAUCCUCCCCCUUCAGAAUAUCUUGAAAAGCAGACCACCAUGAGUGGCAAAGAAGGGAGCAAAGACGAGAGAUUCCACAGCCAUGAGCUUGAUGAGGAUGUUGAGUGAUGGGCCUGAGGUGUCCUUCAGUGGGUCACCAAUGGUAUCACCAAUCACAGCUGCUUUGUGUGGCUCUGAACCUUUUGGGCCUAGCGUCCUUGCAUGCUCUGAAGCACCAGCCUCGAUAUACUUCUUGGCAUUAUCCCAUGCACCACCUGUGUUAGAUGCAGAAAUUGCUAUCUGAACACCAGAAACAAGAGAACCAGCCAAAACACCAGAAAGAGUCUCAACCCCAAAGAAGGUUCCAACAAUGAGGGGUGUAAGCAUGACAAGAGCUCCUGGUGGAAUCAUCUCCUUGAUGGAUGCAUCAGUAGAUAUCUUGACACAGGUAGCAUAAUCAGGCUUGGCAUGACCCUCCAUGAGACCAGGAAUGGUGUUGAACUGCCUGCGAACUUCCUCAACCAUCUUCAAAGCUGCACUUCCCACACUCUUCAUGGUCAUGGCAGAGAACCAGUACGGAAGCAUAGCACCCACGAUCAGACCAAUGAAGACCUUCGGGGUCAAGACAUCAACUGUUGAAAUAGAUGCACGGCUCACAAAAGCACCAAACAAUGCCAAAGAUACUA
rnacentral:misc_RNA from 1 species